rnacentral:lncRNA from 1 species
UAUUUUUUUUGCAAAAACUUCAAAAUAUCAUCCUGUGUGGUUUCAUACUUUUUCACUUUAAUACCAUAUAGUUUAAAGUGUAUCAAAUUAGUAUUCUAUGGUUUCAUUUUUAUCUUUUUAUUAUUUAUUUCACUAUGUUUUUUUCUUUAAAUCGGUGACAAAAUUAAAACUAUAGGGUACUAAAAUGAAUAUUCGAUAAAACUAGAUGAGAUAUCAAAAGUUUUUUGUAUAUAAUUUAACAAACUAUUAACAGAGAAACUGACGAAAAGACAAAAAAUUAAUGAAACCACAGACUUUCAUAUAUUAAGGAUAAUUGCACGAACUUAGGUGCGCAAAUUACGAGACCGGUGAGAUUUUGAACGGUAAAUUUUAAUUUUUUAUAGUUAUAGAAUUAUUACGAACAAAUUCUAUAACCAACUUUAAUUGACUAAAUAUUGAUGCAUCGCUAAUACAAAAAUUAUGCAGAAGUUUUGUGAUUCGUGAUGCGCCAAUAAUUAAGACGCAACACCAUUAAUUUUACAUCAUCAAUGAGUCAAUAUUAAGUCAACCAAAUUGGAUUGUGAAACUUAAUUUAAUUGCGAUAAUUCUGAAAAAUUGUAUCAGAAAUUAUAACGAAUUAAAGUUUGAAGAUCAAAAUGGCUGUCAAACUAUCU